UACGUAGGCAGCGAGCGUUGUUCGGAAUUACUGGGCGUAAAGAGUGUGUAGGUGGUGCUCUAAGUUCGGUGUGAAAUCUCCCGCUUAACUGGGAGGGUGCGCCGAAUACUGAGUGACUAGAGUGCGGGAGAGGAAAGUGGAAUUCCUGGUGUAGCGGUGAAAUGCGUAGAUAUCAGGAGGAACACCGGUGGUGUAGACGGCUUUCUGGACCGUAACUGACGCUGAGACACGAAAGCGUGGGUAGCAAACAGG
rnacentral:rRNA from 1 species